GUGUAUUAGUGCUUGCCAAGCAGAACAAAAUCUUCUCUGCUGUACUGCAUGUUGAUCACAAUCUUAUCAUAUUAGGAAUAAGAGGUUAUAUUAACAUGAAUUGGUGAUAACGAAACCAGUCUUUGAUACCCAGUUCAUCUUUUCCCCUCAAUGCCCAUUGGCCAUCAUUUCUGGAGGAGCUUUGAAAGAUAAGAACUUCACGCCUUUCUGAAUCCACAAGUGCCUACAUGGAGAGAAUGUUAUAAUUUGUGAGACCGUCAUUAUAUCAAAUUACAACCCAACAGACCUGUUGUGACAUUGAAACAGCUGGCAGAACUUGCUUCUCUUCCUGCAAAAAGCAAUUUCACUUCUCCGGCCCUCUGUGAUCUACAGAUUUUAUUGUGUAGGAUGUUGAGUUCUGUUAUUAUGCCACUGUUAGCAAAUCAUAUGCCAUCAAGAACAACAGACUUCUGCCACCUAGAUCCAUUAGGAUUAAAUUGCACUCAUUUCCUCA